rnacentral:rRNA from 1 species
AGUGAACGCUGGCGGUAGGCCUAACACAUGCAAGUCGAACGGCAGCACAGUAAGAGCUUGCUCUUACGGGUGGCGAGUGGCGGACGGGUGAGGAAUACAUCGGAAUCUACUUUUUCGUGGGGGAUAACGUAGGGAAACUUACGCUAAUACCGCAUACGACCUACGGGUGAAAGCAGGGGAUCUUCGGACCUUGCGCGAUUGAAUGAGCCGAUGUCGGAUUAGCUAGUUGGCGGGGUAGAGGCCCACCAAGGCGACGAUCCGUAGCUGGUCUGAGAGGAUGAUUAGCCACACUGGAACUGAGACACGGCCCACACUCCUACGGGAGGCAGCAGUGGGGAAUAUUGGACAAUGGGCGCAAGCCUGAUCCAGCCAUACCGCGUGGGUGAAGAAGGCCUUCGGGUUGUAAAGCCCUUUUGUUGGGAAAGAAAAGCAGCAGGUUAAUACCCCGCUGUUCUGACGGUACCCAAAGAAUAAGCACCGGCUAACUUCGUG